rnacentral:rRNA from 1 species
GACGAACGCUGGCGGCGCGCCUAACACAUGCAAGUCGAACGGAGUCAAGAGGAGCUUGCUUUUCUUGACUUAGUGGCGAACGGGUGAGUAACGCGUGAGUAACCUGCCCUGGAGUGGGGGACAACAGUUGGAAACGACUGCUAAUACCGCAUAAGCCCACGGCCCGGCAUCGGGCUGCGGGAAAAGGAUUUAUUCGCUUCAGGAUGGACUCGCGUCCAAUUAGCUGGUUGGUGAGGUAACGGCCCACCAAGGCGACGAUUGGUAGCCGGACUGAGAGGUUGAACGGCCACAUUGGGACUGAGACACGGCCCAGACUCCUACGGGAGGCAGCAGUGGGGGAUAUUGCACAAUGGGGGAAACCCUGAUGCAGCGACGCCGCGUGGAGGAAGAAGGUUUUCGGAUUGUAAACUCCUGUCGUUAGGGACGAUAAUGACGGUACCUAACAAGAAAGCACCGGCUAACUACGUGCCAGCAGCCGCGGUAAAACGUAGGGUGCAAGCGUUGUCCGGAAUUACUGGGUGUAAAGGGAGCGCAGGCGGACCGGCAAGUUGGAAGUGAAAACUAUGGGCUCAACCCAUAAAUUGCUUUCAAAACUGCUGGCCUUGAGUAGUGCAGAGGUAGGUGGAAUUCCCGGUGUAGCGGUGGAAUGCGUAGAUAUCGGGAGGAACACCAGUGGCGAAGGCGACCUACUGGGCACCAACUGACGCUGAGGCUCGAAAGCAUGGGUAGCAAACAAGAUUAGAUACCCUGGUAGUCCAUGCCGUAAACG